CGCACGGGUGAGUAACACGUGACUUAUCUAACCCUCGAGUGGGGAAUAACUUGGGAAACCAGGCUAAUACCGCAUAAUACCCACGGGUCAAAGGAGCAAUUCGCUUGAGGAGGAGGUCGCGGCCGAUUAGUAGUUGGCGGGGUAAUGGCCCCACCAAGACGGUGAUCGGUAUCCGGCCUGAGAGGGCGCACGGACACACUGGAACUGAAACACGGUCCAGACUCCUACGGGAGGCAGCAGUGGGGAAUUUUGCGCAAUGGGGGAAACCCUGACGCAGCAACGCCGCGUGGAGGAUGAAGUCUCUUGGACGUAAACUCCUUUCGAUCGGGACGAUUAUGACGGUACCGGAAGAAGAAGCCCCGGCUAACUUCGUG
rnacentral:rRNA from 1 species